rnacentral:rRNA from 1 species
GAUGAACGCUGGCGGCGUGCCUAAUACAUGCAAGUCGAGCGAACAGAUGAGGAGCUUGCUCCUCUGACGUUAGCGGCGGACGGGUGAGUAACACGUGGAUAACCUACCUAUAAGACUGGGAUAACUUCGGGAAACCGGAGCUAAUACCGGAUAAUAUAUUGAACCGCAUGGUUCAAUAGUGAAAGACGGUUUUGCUGUCACUUAUAGAUGGAUCCGCGCCGCAUUAGCUAGUUGGUAAGGUAACGGCUUACCAAGGCAACGAUGCGUAGCCGACCUGAGAGGGUGAUCGGCCACACUGGAACUGAGACACGGUCCAGACUCCUACGGGAGGCAGCAGUAGGGAAUCUUCCGCAAUGGGCGAAAGCUUGACGGAGCAACGCCGCGUGAGUGAUGAAGGUCUUCGGAUCUUAAAACUCUGUUAUUAGGGAAGAACAAAUGUGUAAGUAACUAUGCACGUCUUGACGGUACCUAAUCAGAAAGCCACGGCUAACUACGUG